UACCCCGCUGGGCCAGAACCACGAUGGA
rnacentral:sRNA from 1 species